rnacentral:rRNA from 1 species
UACAGAGGGUGCAAGCGUUAAUCGGAAUACUGGGCGUAAAGCGUGCGCAGACGGUUGCGUAAGUCAGAUGUGAAAGCCCCGGGCUCAACCUGGGGAAUUGCAUUUGAGACUGCGUAGCUAGGGUGCGGAAGAGGGAAGCGGAAUUUCCGGUGUAGCGGUGAAAUGCGUAGAUAUCGGAAGGAACACCAGUGGCGAAAGCGGCUUCCUGGUCCAGCACCGACGUUCAGGCACGAAAGCGUGGGGAGCAAACAGG